rnacentral:rRNA from 1 species
GUGGGGAAUUUUGGACAAUGGGCGCAAGCCUGAUCCAGCAAUGCCGCGUGCAGGAAGAAGGCCUUCGGGUUGUAAACUGCUUUUGUACGGAACGAAACGGUCCGGGUUAAUACCCUGGGCUAAUGACGGUACCGUAAGAAUAAGCACCGGCUAACUACGUGCCAGCAGCCGCGGUAAUACGUAGGGUGCAAGCGUUAAUCGGAAUUACUGGGCGUAAAGCGUGCGCAGGCGGUUUUGUAAGACAGGCGUGAACUCCCCGGGCUCAACCGGGGAAUUGCGCUUGUGACUGCAAGGCUGGAGUGCGGCAGAGGGGGAUGGAAUUCCGCGUGUAGCAGUGAAAUGCGUAGAUAUGCGGAGGAACACCGAUGGCGAAGGCAAUCCCCUGGGCCUGCACUGACGCUCAUGCACGAAAGCGUGGAGAGCAAACAGGAUUAGAUACCCCUGUAGUCC